rnacentral:tRNA from 1 species
CGGGGUAUAGCGCAGCCAGGUUAGCGCGCCAGUCUGGGGGACUGGAGGCCGGGAGUUCGAAUCUCCCUGCCCCGACCA